CGUACCGGUACGCGCCCUGCGUAACGGCCAAACCCGAGAGCAAACCCGAGGGCUGCGCAGCCUGGCAGCGAUGGCUGUACCGGUACAGCCAUCAUGCGUGUACCGGUACACCAGCUCCAGAAAGCUGUUUCUCGAUCUGUUUCGAUUUCUUUUCGCGUCCAACAACGCUAAAACUAUUCCAACACUUUUGGUACUCAUUUUUACUCUUCCAAACAUGUUGAAAUACCAAAUGGGACUUGUCCCAAACUUUCGUUUGCUCACUUUGGUCCAUUGUGCCAAAGUUAGCCAAUAUCGUCGAAUUUCGAUAUCUUACAUGGUGGUUGGGCCGAACGAGUUAUUGUUGCUAGUGGGCUGGGUCGUUACACAUUCCAACAAUGUUGGAAGGGCUAAAAAUGAGUUUAAGAGGUGUUAGAAAGAUUUUAGUAUCGAACGGCGCGAAACAGAAUCGAAAACGGCGUAAAAUUGCAUUAUGGAGCAAAGUGUACCGGUA
rnacentral:lncRNA from 1 species